rnacentral:rRNA from 1 species
ACGGGGGGAGCAAGCGUUGUUCGGAUUUACUGGGCGUAAAGGGCGGGUAGGCGGCCACCGCAAGUCAGUUGUGAAAUCUCCGGGCUUAACUCGGAAAGGUCAACUGAUACUGCGGGGCUAGAGUGCAGAAGGGGCAACUGGAAUUCUUGGUGUAGCGGUGAAAUGCGUAGAUAUCAAGAGGAACACCUGAGGUGAAGACGGGUUGCUGGGCUGACACUGACGCUGAGGCGCGAAAGCCAGGGGAGCAAACGGGA